GGAAGGAUCAUUCUUGAAUUACUAGUAGCUCAUGCUGCUAUUAACCUUCUUGUGAACAAAAUGAACUGCUGCUUGCUCGGGACUCUUACAGGUCUCGGGUGAGUAGUGGUUUACCAACCCAUUUUGACCUUUGAUUAACUUAUUAAACUCGUAUUUCAUAAUACAAAACAACAACUUUCAGCAACGGAUCUCUAGGCUCUCGCAACGAUGAAGAACGCAGCAAAAUGCGAUAAGUAUUGUGAAUUGCAGACCGUGAAUCAUCGAAUUUUUGAACGCACCUUGCACUGCCUGGAAUUCCGGGCAGUAUGCUUGUUUGAGUAUUAUAUCAUUCACCUCCACAGAGUAGCAUUGGUAACCUAAUGCUGCUAGCGGGACUUGAGAUUACAUCUAGCUUCGGCUGCAUGGAUCUUUAAAUGCGUACGACCUUCUGGUUGAUCACACAGUGUAGUCCGAAAGGUAACUGCUGUCGAGAGAAACCAGCUAGCAAGUUUAAUGAAACAGUUGAGUUUAUGCCCUUGCAUAUCUCGCCUAGAAAAAUAAUCUCAAAUCAAGUAGGAUUACCCGCUGAACUUAAGCAUAUUAAUAAGCGGAGGAAAAGAAACUAACAAGGAUUCCCCUAGUAACGGCGAGUGAAGCGGGAAUAGCUCAAAUUUGUAAUCUCUUCGGAGAAUUGUAAUUUGUAGAGUCGCGAUCGUUGGCUAGCUAGGUAAAAGUCUCCUGGGAUGGAGCGUCAUAGAGGGUGAGAAUCCCGUAUAUGACCUAGUGAUGCUACGUUUGACGCGGCUUCAAAGAGUCGGGUUGUUUGGGACUGCAGCCCUAAAUGGGUGGUAUAUUCCAUCUAAAGCUAAAUAUUGGCGAGAGACCGAUAGCGAACAAGUACUGUGAAGGAAAGAUGAAAAGAACUUUGAAAAGAGAGUUAAAUAGUACGUGAAAUUGCUGAAAGGGAAACGUUUGAAAUCAGUGUGGGACCGGUAAAAUCAACUGCUUGGAAACAAGUGGUGCACUUUUACCGGAACCGGUCAACGUCAGUUCUCGGAGUAGUAUAAACAGUAGGGAAGGUAGCUCUUUGAGUGUUAUAGCCUUGCUGCACGCUGCUUUGGGGACCGAGGUCCGCCUUGUAGGAUGUUGACAAAAUGGUUUUAAAUGACCCGUCUUGAAACACGGACCAAGGAGUCUAACAUGUGUGCGAGUAUUUGGGUGUCAAACUCGAAUGCGCAAUGAAAGUGAACGUAGGUGGGAUACUUUUGUAGCACCAUCGACCGAUCUGGAUUUUUAAUGAUAGAUUUGAGUAAGAGCAUACAUGUUGGGACCCGAAAGAUGGUGAACUAUGCCUGAAUAGGGCGAAGCCAGAGGAAACUCUGGUGGAGGCUCGUAGCGAUUCUGACGUGCAAAUCGAUCGUCAAAUUUGGGUAUAGGGGCGAAAGACUAAUCGAACCUUCUAGUAGCUGGUUCCCUC
rnacentral:misc_RNA from 1 species